CUUCUAAACCUGUUUUAAAUGCAGCGAGAGAGGUUACUGAUCUAAGAGAUUCUGGCAGGCCAUUCCAUAAAGAGGCUCCACUGUAACUGAAGGAGCGUUUCAAAUAAUCUGUGCGUGGUUUUGGGACAUAAAGUUUACCAUAAGAAUCUCUCAGGUUAUAAACACUCUCACUGGGAGAAAACAUCUCUUGUAAAUAGAAUGGUGUAUGUUUAUUAAUAGUAUUAAACAUGAGGAUUGCCUUUUGCUUUAAUCGCUUAGUGGACAAUGAUUCCCAAUUAAGUUCUUGAAGCGUGAAUGAUGCGUCAUGGAGUUCGUGAAGCGUGAAUGAUGCGUCAUGGAAAACUUCAAUGGCUGUGGAUUUCUUUGUUUGCACAUCGUCGACUGUUGUACCACCAGCCAUGAGGUCGUCCACAUACAGGCCAUCGCGAAUCUCUUUAACAAUCUCAGGAUACUGCCGUUCCCACAGUUCGAAGUGUUGAUUGAGGACUCCUGCGAGAAGGAAAGGGGAUGAGGUUAGCCCGAACAAGGCUCUCGUAAAACGGUAUAUUUGAGUUUCGGUACUGCCGGGUGCUCUCCAGUGGAACCGUAAGGAAUCUCUCUCUUCUUCCUUUAUUCUAAUUUGCAGAAAUGCUUUUUGCAGGUCACCUGUCAACAGGAUCGGGUGGAAUCGUGAUCUUAUUAAAAUGUUCCAAAGUAUGUUUUGGAAAGAUGGUCCUGGUUUCAAGCAGUCGUUCAGGGAGGGAUGCUUCACAUUUUCCCGCGCAGACGCGUCGUAGACCAUCCGCAACUUCGUACUUUCCGCAUCUUUCUUAGAAACUCCUUUAUGUGGUAUGUAGUAUUCCUUGCCUUUGGGUACUGUAGGUGCUCUUUCAAUCACACCGCUCUGAAGCUGCUCCUGAAUUAUGCUGUCAUAGUCUUCAUAAUUCCCAUCUCGCUCGAGCCGUUUGACAAGUUACUGUAAUCUUCUUCGGCUGCCCGCUUCGUUCGUUGGCAAUUCUGGGUGGUUGGCCUUCCAAGGUAACUUCGUCUCAUACCAACCAGCCUCGUUUCGUUGAAGUUGCUCUUUGAAUUCCUGGUAUACAGUUCCCUGAUCGUUCUCCGGUUUGUCAGCAAGUCCAAGCACAUCCAAAGAUCACAGCUGCUCAUAGUCCAUGCUGACUGAUCGAGUUAGCAGAAGUGGGCUUGUCACAUCCUCUCUACCAGGCGACAUUAACACCCAACCGAGGCGAGUACGUUCAGCAAUGGGUUGUCCGGGUUUCCCAACUCGUGGCGCUGCUGUUGUCUUGAUAUAUUGGCAUACUCGUUCACUCAGAGAACUACAUGUAUAGGAAGGUGUGGUUUGUCAUCAAGAUCAUCUAUCUUCACUCACUUUAAAUGGUUAUACUUGCUCAGCAGCUCUUCAUACCGAGGAUUAUCGAUUUCCAUCAGGUGUGGCUUAUGGACUUUCGAUAGUUCGACUUCCAUUGUAAACUGACCAUCAGUUCCCUUGAUAGUUGCAGGGUAGAUUUCAACUCUGGUUGUUGUUGAGCCGAGCAUCAUUUCAAUCCGUUUUGUUUGGAUCUCCUUCGGUUUCUUGUUCAGAGCGUCUAUAAGUUUGGCUGAAGUAUAGCAGCUCCCCGAUCCAGUGUCGAGUAGCGCUCGUGUCUUUAUCCCAUCGACUUCAAUGACCACAACAGGAUAAAUAACUUGGUUGUCCCCUGCCCUAUGGGCUGACAUGAACCCCUCAGGUUUCUUUGGAUUUUCACAGAUUGAGGUGUGGUGUCUUCUAGCACAGUUGUGACAUGUCACAAUACUUUUACAUUCCGCUGCUCUGUGGGAGGGUCCAGUACAGUUGAAACAUAGUUUUUUUUUUGCUAGGAUUCUCCUGCGUUCUUCUAAUGUUUUAACGGUUGGGCAG